rnacentral:pre_miRNA from 1 species
AGCUCCACGUUGGAGAAGCAGGGCACGUGCAAAGCAAUAAAUCAAACACGAAAUCUGUCUCAUGUGGUUUGCACGUGCUCCCCUCCUCCAACAUGAGCUC